rnacentral:tRNA from 1 species
UAUUUAUUGGUGUAAGAGGCACAAAAGUUUUUGAUACUUUAGGGUAUAGUUUAAUUCUAUUAUAAAUAA